UAAUGUAAUUACUACAACAUUAAUGCAAUGUAUCCCAUUAUAACUUCGAGGUUAAGCAUGCUUGGGAUAGAGUAGUACUAGGAUGGGUGGCCUCCCAGGAAGUCCUAGUGUUUUACAUGCC
rnacentral:rRNA from 1 species